ensembl:lncRNA
UAUCCCUGUAACCAUGCAUCUGCUUCUGUAUGCUUGCUUCUGCUCCCCAAAAUCCUAUAAAAGCCCAUCCUUGGUUCUGUGGGGCGCGCCAGUCCCCCGAGUGACUGAAGCGCCCACAGGUGCCUGUGCCUGUGUAUCCCGACAAUAAACCAAAUCCUCUUGCUGAUUGCAUCCUGUGGUGUCUCGGUCUGGUCUUUGGAGUUAGAGGAUCUCCAUCCCGAGGGAAAGUUCUCCCUGAGAGCUUUUCAUUUGGUGCGUUGGCCGGGAAAGGAGAUCCUCCACCCAGGGACCACCGACCACCCACUGGGAGGUAAGCCGGCCGGCGUCUGUCUGUCUGUCUGAUUUUGUCUCGUUCUGCCUUAUUCUGUCUGUUCUGUGAGCGCUCAGCCAGGUCUGUUCUGUGAGCGCUCAGCCAGGUCUGUUCUGUGAGCGCUCAGCCAGGCUGUUUGGAAUUUGGGCGGGACGAAGAAGGAGCUGACGAGCUCGGACUUCUCGCCCCGCAGCCCUGGAAGACGUUCCAAGGGUGUUAGGGGCCCGACUUUUCGGGGCCCAAUCUGGGAGAGGAGAAAGAUCCGGACUAACGGCACCUCUGUCUGUAUUUUUGGCUUUCAGAGGGCCCCGGACCUUUGCCACCUCCAUCUGACUUUUUGCUUUCAGUUUGGUACCAAAGCCGUGCAGCACGCCUGUCUGUUGUUUGUUUGACUGUUGGUGUUGUUUG